UAAAUACCUUUUGGUAUAAUUUUGUAGAUAUUGGGGGAUUUUUUUUUGAGAUUUUACAGUCUCGAACUUGCGUCAGGUUUUUUUGAUUCUGAUAUUUUUUUGGUAGGUUUAGUUUUCUUGCCUUCAGAUUUUGUUUUUUUUUUUAUGAAAGUCGCUGAGGACAGCGAGCGGUUCACCUACGUUGAACCUUAAAUCGGGAAGGGGGGUAUUGUAACGUAGCAGAUUUUUUGAUAGUCGUAAUUAAAUAUUUUGGAUAGAUUUAAUUUUUGAAUGAAACACUUCCUUCUCGUUCAUUGCAUUAUCUGUUGCACUUCAAAUGCACAUAUUUAUGUUUAUCUGUUGUAGGGUUGCCAUACAACAAGUAUUAUUCGAAAUUGUAGGUAUUUUGGCUGUCAUUCCAGGAAAACUUUGUAUAGUUUUGAUAUACUUUAAGUAUUGAUUUUUGGAAAAUAUAAUAUUUUAGAGACAUGAUAACAAAUGUUAUCAUAGGUUUUUUAAGGCUGUUCUGGAAUGAUAUUUGUUAGGUUUUGUUUACUUCAAGGUCUGAUACAGAAACUGGAGUAAUUUUCAUUUAAUGAAUUAGAGUAUUUUAUUGUUUAUUCGUUUGCCACCCGGCUUUUGUUUUGGGUCCUUUAAAUUCGAGAUCAUUCAGUGCGCCGUUCUUUCUGUGACGAGAUCCUCUUGUAUAGUGAUCGGACGGCCGUAUAAGGGCCUGGAGCCCGGCAUGCCACGUGCUGCCGUGGCGUUCCAUAUUUUGUGUGGUGCGUUCUGUCAGUCUGACUGGCAGAAACAUGCUAAGGGUGGGAGUGCUCCUUGGAGAUCCUCGGUCUGCAGUCUGCAGGUCUCCGGAGUCGGGAAGAAGUAAAGAAUUAGAGAAUUGCAGAAGUA